rnacentral:lncRNA from 1 species
AACAAGAUUGCUGUCUGAACACUUGAGAUAAAUCUUCAUUCACUCUCUGGAAUUGCUCAACACACAGGAGUUGGCAUGGUGGUUAAAUUUUUCUAAAACAGUCAUAUUAAUGUGUUCAAAAAUCCACUGCUGAGUCUCAGAGAGAGGGUCACAUCUGGCCAUGAAAAUCUUCUUCUCUGCGGGGUUGCAAUCCAUGCAGCUGUUGCUCACAGGAUGGAAUAAUGUUCUGUCCUGGAGGAGUGAGGAAGAAAAGAAAAGACUGUUGUAAUACGUGGUGAAUGGUUACAACCCAAAAUAUACAGAAGUAAGAUAUUUCUGUUUAUAUUUCAGUAUAUAUUUAUUGUGUAAAUAGAACAGCUCCCAAAUCAAACAAUAGCAGGUGGAGUUGCCCAUGUGGAAUGUGAAUUUGUAGGCUGUAUUGGCACUAUGUAGGGCCUACAAGCAGGUUCAAUUAGAGACAAUAAAUGUAUUUAUUCAUUCAAUCAUCCACUUCUUUUAAAAAAGCAAUCCAUUCAUUUUCUGCUCUGUGGUGAGCUUUUUGCUAUCUGCUUAAAUUUUGAAAAUAGUAAGUAUAUGGGGUUGCUUGGCAAGUAACCAAUAAUGUAGCUAUCUGGGAAGAAACACAUACACAAAAAAUUGUAUUUUAGUCCGCAGUAAAUAAUACCCCCUGCUCACACGCACACACAAUGACUAGAAGAGUCAUAAUUCCCU